AGUGGCGGACGGGUGAGUAAUGCAUGAGCAACCUGCCUCGAAGUGGGGAAUAACACAGAGAAAUUUGUGCUAAUACCGCAUAAUGUGUUUUGGAGGCAUCUCCGAAACAAGAAAGGAUUUAUUCGCUUUGAGAUGGGCUCAUGUCUGAUUAGGUAGUUGGUGGGGUAACGGCCUACCAAGCCGACGAUCGGUAGCCGGACUGAGAGGUUGAACGGCCACAUUGGGACUGAGACACGGCCCAGACUCCUACGGGAGGCAGCAGUGGGGAAUAUUGCACAAUGGGCGCAAGCCUGAUGCAGCAACGCCGCGUGAGGGAAGACGGUCUUCGGAUUGUAAACCUUUGUCUUUGGUGAAGAAACAAUGACGGUAGCCAAGGAGGAAGCCACGGCUAACUACGUGCCAGCAGCCGCGGUAAUACGUAGGUGGCAAGCGUUGUCCGGAAUUACUGGGUGUAAAGGGAGCGCAGGCGGGACAGCAAGUUGGAUGUGAAAUACCGAGGCUUAACCACGGAGCUGCAUCCAAAACUGUUGUUCUUGAGUGAAGUAGAGGUAGGCGGAAUUCCGAGUGUAGCGGUGAAAUGCGUAGAUAUUCGGAGGAACACCAGUGGCGAAGGCGGCCUACUGGGCUUUAACUGACGCUGAGGCUCGAAAGUGUGGGGAGCAAACAGGAUUAGAUACCCUGGUAGUCCACACUGUAAACGAUGAUUGCUAGGUGUGGGGGGUCUGACCCCCUCCGUGCCGGAGUUAACGCAAUAAGCAAUCCACCUGGGGAGUACGGCCGCAAGGUUGAAACUCGAAGGAAUUGACGGGGGCCCGCACAAGCAGUGGAUUAUGUGGUUUAAUUCGAAGCAACGCGAAGAACCUUACCAGGUCUUGACAUCCAACUAACGAGAUAGAGAUAUGUCAGGUGCCCUUCGGGGAAAGUUGAGACAGGUGGUGCAUGGUUGUCGUCAGCUCGUGUCGUGAGAUGUUGGGUUAAGUCCCGCAACGAGCGCAACCCCUGCCAUUAGUUGCUACGCAAGAGCACUCUAAUGGGACCGCUACCGACAAGGUGGAGGAAGGUGGGGACGACGUCAAAUCAUCAUGCCCCUUAUGACCUGGGCUACACACGUAAUACAAUGGCCGUUAACAACGAGGAGCAAACCCGCGAGGGGGAGCAAAACUUCAAAAACGGUCUCAGUUCGGAUCGCAGGCUGCAACCCGCCUGCGUGAAGUUGGAAUUGCUAGUAAUCGCGGAUCAGCAUGCCGCGGUGAAUAC
rnacentral:rRNA from 1 species